AUGGGCGCCGCCGACGAGCACCCUCAGCAUCAGCCGUCUCCGGCGCCGGAGGGGGAGGCGAAGAGGACGCUGGUGUUCACGUACGGCACGCUGAAGCGGGGCUUCUCCAACCACUGCCUGCUGCAGGACCUGGCGCGCGCGGGGGACGCGGCCUUCGUGGCCGCCGCCGCGACGGCCGAACCCCUCCCGCUCGUCUGCGGGCCCUACCGCGUCCCCUUCCUCCUCAACCUGCCCGGCGAGCACGGCUGCCAGCGCGUCCGCGGGGAGCUCUACUCCGUCACGCCGCACGGCCUCGCCCGGCUGGACGAGCUGGAGGGCGUCUCGCGGGCCCACUACGAGCGCCUCCCCGUCUCCGUCGUUGUCGAUGGGGGGGAAGGCGCAGCGGAAGAGGUGGUGGCGUACUACGCGCACCGCGGGUACGCGGCGGAGAUGUGGGCGCGGAGCGGGCGGAGGGGCCACGCCGAGUACUCGCCGGCGGUGGCCGCCGGGUACGUCCGCCGCGUGGACCGGCCGCAGCACCUCACCUUCCUCGACCAGAUCCGCGUCUUCGUCUCCUCCCAGUCCUAG
rnacentral:rRNA from 1 species